rnacentral:rRNA from 1 species
UUCGAUCAUGGCUCAGAUUGAACGCUGGCGGGAUGCUUUACAUACCUGAUCGUCGAACGGCAGCACGGACUUCGGUCUGGUGGCGAGUGGCGAACGGGUGAAGUAAUGUAUCGGAACGUGCACUGAAAGUGGCGGGGAUAACUACGCGGCGUAGCUAAUACCGCAUACGCCCAUCGGGGGAAAAGCGGGGGACCUUCGGGCCUCGCACUAUUAGAGCGGCCGAUAUCGGAUUAGCUAGUUGGUGGGGUAACAACUCACCUAGGCGACGAUCCACGUAGCUGGUUUGAGGACGGCCAGCCACACUGGGACUGAGACAUGUUGAACUCCUACGGGAGGAGCGACAGUGAAUUUUGGACAAUGGGGGAAACCCUGAUGAUCCAGCCAUCCCGCGUGUGCGAUGAAGGCCUUCGGGUUAUCAACACUUUUGGCAGGAAAGAAACGGCACGGGAUAAUACGUGCAGCUGACUGACACACUGCAGGAAUAAGCACACGGCUAACUACGUGCCAGCAGCCGCGGUAGCGUAGGGGGUGCAAGCGUUAAUCAAGUUACUGGGCGUAAAGCUUGCGCAGGCGGUUCGAAGAAAAGAUGUGAAAUCCCAGAGCUUAACUUUGGAACUGCAUUUUUAACUACCGAGCUAGAAGUGUGUCAGCGGAGGGAGGUGGAAUUCCGCGUGUAGUAGUGAAAUGUAGAUAUGCGGAGAACACGAUGGCGGCAACCUCCUGGGAUAACACUGACUCAUGCACGAAAGCGUGGGAGCAAACGGGAUUAGAUACCUGGUAGUCCACGCCCUAAACGAUGUCAACUAGCUGUUGGGGCCUUCAGGCCUUGGUAGCGCAGCUAACGCGCUGAAGUUGACCGCCUGGGGAAGUACGGUCGCAAGAUUAAAACUCAAAGGAAUUGACGGGGACCCGCACAAGCGGUGGAUGAUGUGGAUUAAUUCGAUGCAACGCGAAAAACCUUACCUACCCUUGACAUGUCUGGAAUCCGAAGAGAUUUGGGAGUGCUCGCAAGAGAACCGGAACACAGGUGCUGCAUGGCUGUCGUCAGCUCGUGUCGUGAGAUGUUGGGUUAAGUCCCGCAACGAGCUUAACCCUUGUCAUUAGUUGCUACGAAAGGGCACUCUAAUGAGACUGCCGGUGACAAACCGGAGGAAGGUGGGGAUGACGUCCAAGUCCUCUUGUGGCCCUUAUGGGUGGGCUACACGUCCUUAAUGGUCCCUUUGCGGGACAGAGGGUCGCCAACCCGGAGGGAGGGAGCCAAUCCCCGAAACCCGAUCGUAGUCCGGAUCGCAGUCUGCAACUCGACUGCGUGAAGUCGGAAUCGCUAGUAAUCGCGGAUCAACAUGUCGCGGUAGACGUACAUUCCAGGUCUUGUACACACCGCCCGUCACACCAUGGGAGUGGGUUUUACCAAGUAGUUAGCCUAACCGUAAGGAGGGCGAUUACCACGGUAGGAUUCAUGGCUGGGGGUGAAGUCGUAACAAGGU